AAUUCCACUGUCGAGGUAAAUAAUUAGUUCUUUUUUAUUUAAUUAAUUUGCUCAUCUGGCGUAGUUCUUUUUAUAUUUAAUUAUAGACUUAAGUUUCAAUACAGAUCUAGAGACAUAAAAUUUAUUGUUAUUACUUUGUUCUUAUCUUUGACGAUGGUGUAUUCGCUUAUUAUCUGAUCUAACAUAUCUUAUUUGAUUUUAGUAGAUUCAUAAUGGAUAAGUGUUGGAUGAGUAAACCAAGAUCAACAAAAGAAUAUGAAAAUGGAUUGAAUCAAUUUCUUGAUAUGGCUUUUGCUAAAGUAAGUCUUAGUGGAAAAAUUAUUUGUCCGUGCAAACAGUGUAGGAAUGGGAAAUGGGUAACUAGAGACAUUGCCGAAGAACAUUUGUUAGUUGAUGGCUUUAUGAAAGGUUACACAAAUUGGGUCGCGCAUGGUGAAGACACAUUGUCUGAUCAUGUGGAUUCCCAAAAUUUUAACGAAUUCAAUAUGUUAGGGGAGGGUUAGUACAUGAUGCAUUUGGUGUUAAUGAUACAAACCUAAACAUGGAAGAAGAACCCAACCGGAAAGCUAAGGCUUUUUUUGAGUUGUUAGAUGAUGCUAAAAAGGAAUUGUAUCCAGGAUGUAAACAAUUUUAUAAACUUACAUUUCUCAUACGACUCUUUCACCUGAAGUGUACUGGUAAAUGGUCUAAUAAAUCAUGCACAAUGCUUCUUGAGUUGUUGAAAGAGGCCUUUCCUCAAGCAACUAAGUCACUGCCCAGUUCUUAUUAUGAAGUUCAAAAGAUAAUAAAAAAAUUAGGACUCACUUGUAUUUAAAUACAUGCUUGUCCUAAUGAUUGCAUGUUGUAUUGGAAAGAGCAUGAGAAUGAUAUAGCUUGUCAUGUGUGUAAAACAUCUCGAUACGAUCAAGCUCAAACGAAUGCUGAUGAGGGAGAUUCCUCAAGUAAAUUCAAAAACAUUCCAGCAAAAAUAUAGAGAUAUUUUCCAUUGAAGACUCGUCUUCAAAGAUUCUUUAUGUCAUCUAAAACUUCGUCAUUUAUGAGGUGGCACCAAGAGCUUCGCACUAAGGAUGGUUGCAUGAUACAUCCUAGUGAUUCUCCGCUUUGGCAUGAUUUUGAUCGUCGACAUCGUGACUUUUCAAAAGACUAAAGAAAUGUAAGACUUGGUCUAGCGGCUGAUGGAUUUAGUCCAUUUCGGACCAUGAGUGUUACUCAUAGCAUAUGGCCAGUCAUAUUAACCCCGUACAACUUACCUCCAUGGAUGUGUAUGAAAGAACCUUACUUCUUUUUGACCCUACUCAUUCCUGGUCCAUCAGCUCCCGGCAACAAUAUUGAUGUCUACAUGCAACCACUAAUAGAGGAACUAAAAUAAUUGUGGAAAGGAGUCGAAACAUAUGACUCAUCAAAUAAACAAAAUUUUUGUAUGCGUGCAGCUUUGUUAUGGACUAUUAACGAUUUUCCAGCAUAUGCAAAUUUGUCUGGUUGGAGCAUGAAAGGACAGUUAGCCUGCCCAUCAUGCCACAAAGAUACCUACUUUUAAUAUUUGUACAAUAGCCGUAAAGAGUGUUACAUGGGUCAUCGGAGAUUUCUAAGUGAAUAUCAUGCUUAUAGAAAAGAUAGUAAAUCAUUUGACGGGAAAGAAGAAUAUCGGCGAGCUCCCGUACCAUUAACUAGAAAUAUGAUUUUGGAGGAAUUAAAUGGGUUCAAUAUGAAAUUUGGAAAAAAAGUAAAUGAUAAUCCUGUGUUACCUCACAAUUGGAAAAAGAGAAGCAUUUUUUUUGAUUUGCCGUACUGGAAAGACAAUUUGUUGCGUCAAAAUUUAGACGUAAUGCAUAUAGAGAAGAAUGUAUGUGACAGUGUGCUCGGGACUUUAUUAAAUUUGGAUGGGAAAACAAAAGACCAGGAAAAUUCUCGCCUUGAUUUGCAAGAUAUGGGCAUAAGGCCUGGUCUGCAUCCUAUGCAGCUUGAUUCAGGAAAAAAGUAUUUGCCGGCAACCUCGUUUUCAAUAAGUAAAAAAGAGAAAGUAAUAUUUAUUGAAGUUUUAAAGAACGUGAAAGUACCUGAUGGUUAUGCAUCAAACAUAUCAAGGCACGUGCAGAUUAAACCACCUAAAAUAUCAGGUCUAAAAAGUCAUGACAAUCAUAUUUUAAUGCAACUAGUUCCAAUUGCUUUGCGUAAAGUACUGCCAAAGCAUGUGAGAGCAUCUUUGAUUAGUUUGUGCACUUUUUUUAGAGAACUUUGUUCUAAAGUUCUCAAUGCCCGAGAAUUAAUUUGUUUGGAAAAAGAGGUUGCUAAAACUCUAUGUGAUUUGGAGAAAAAUUUUCCUCCAUGAUUCUUCCAUAUCAUGAUCCAUCUACCUAUUCAUCUAGCAUAUGAGGCUCGAAUUUAGGGACCAGUUCAAUGUCGUUUGAUGUAUCCUAUUGAAAGGUAAAUAUUAUUUUUAGUAUUAUUAUAUUUUAUUUAAAUUGUACAGAAUUUUUUGAUAACUUUCAAAAAAAAUUCAACUAGAUAUCUAUCAACAUUGAAAUCAUAUGUGCGGAAUCGAAGUCAUCCCGAGGGUUUUAUUGCAGAAGCAUACUUGAUCGAAGAAAGUUUGACCUUCUGUUCGAGGUACUUAGAAGAUGUGGAGACCAAAUUCAAUAGGGUUAAAAGAAAUGACGAUAACAAUAGUCAUAUUGCAUCAACCUUCCUGAUUUUCUCUAAUCCUGGGAGCCAUAUUGGGAGGCAAGAGUGUGUUGUUCUGGAAACUGAAACACGUUCGUAGGCACACCAGUAUGUGUUGUUCAAUUGUGAUUCAAUUGAAUCAUUUAUCGAGUAAGAAUAAGUGAUGUUCAAUUAUUUAAUUAUUUAUUAUGAAAUUGUGCUUAUUUGAAUACAAUUCACAUAUAGACAACACAAGAACAUUGUCAAAGAUCAAAAUCCUCGUCUUGGCAAAAGAGAUAUUGAACGAAUUCACAGUCGAACAUUCUCCAAUUGGUUUAUGAAACAUGUAAGUAUAACAUCAUAUCUUCUCAAUAGAUACUUAUGAUUUAUUUUUAUGUUUGUCUAGUAAUAAUCGAUUAUUCUCGCUUUAUUGUACUUAACAGGUUGAGAGAAUGCAUCUUGAGGGAAAUCAGUUGUCAGAGGAGAUAGGGCUCUAGCUCGGGGCCCAAAUGAAGUUGGCAAGAGAUAUACAGGCUUUAUUGUCAAUGGUUAUCGAUUUAAUGUGAAAACCGGAGAAGAUCACAAAAUAGUGGAUUCGUCGUCAAUGCACAAACUAGUAGUUUCACUAGAAAGAAAGAUCAAAAUCCCAUUGUUGGUGAUGUUACUUACUAUGGGGUUCUACAAGAUAUCAUUGAAUUAGAAUAUUUUGGGGGACGCAAAAUUGUAAUGUUUGAGUGCAACUGGGUUUCACCUGGAAGGGCACAAAAGCAUGAUGACAAUGGCUUCACCUUAGUCAAUUUUUCUUAUUCGAGACAACAUGACGAGCCAUUUAUUUUAGCUUCUCAAGCAUAUCAAGUAUUUUAUGUAGAAGAUCCACUAGAAAAGGGAUGGUACAUUGUUCUCACUACUAAAACAAGAGAUUCAUUUGACAUGGAUCCAAUUUUGAAUUUGGAUGGAGUAAUAUUACAUCAAAGUAGUAGUAGUGAUAUCUUAUUGGACCUCCUCAAUGAAGAACCCAAUUGGGUUAGAGAAGAAGUAGACGGGACGAUUGUUUAAAGCCAAGAAGUGUUUUUUUUUUCUUUUUUUAAUCAAGCAAACAGUACUUGAAAUUUAUUAGAUUAAGAUAAUAUUUAGGGAUUUUUUUUUCUCUAUAUUUAGAUAAUAUUUAGAUAAUAUUUAUUAGAUUUGUUUUUUUAUUAAAUUUAUUAUGCACAUCUUUUAUCAGUGUGUUUUUUUUUUUAACUUGAUAACUUAUUUAUUUUUUUUCUACAGGUCAUGACUCCUGCUACUAGACCCAAAAGCAACCGCAUCAAACAUGAUUCAGGUGAUCAAUCCAACCAAUUACCUAAAUUUUGCUCAUGAAAUCGACAGGAUUUAAGCGAUCAACUCAACGAAUUACCUGAAUUUGCCUCAUUUGUACCACGUGGAGGUAGAGGCAAACGCAUCAGAUCUGAUUUAGGUGUCCAAUCUAGUCAAAUGUCUGGAUUUCGCCACCUAGACCAGGUGGAAGUAAAAAUCAGUCGGGUUGUAUUUACUUAUUUAUUUGAGUUAAUGAAAUUUAUAUUUUUGUGGUUUAUGAUUUCAAUAUCUUUACUUUUAGAUCAUACAAGAUUUAAGUUAAUGUGAACAAUAUUAACUCAAAAUAUGUACAUGAAAUCAGAAUAUAGUGGCUUUAAAUCCACAAGAUGCUAAUUGGUGAGAGUGAACAAGGUAGAACUACACGAAGUGCGACUGAAUCUCAAGAUGAUGCUACUGAGCUAGGUAAAUUUUUUUUUCUUGAAUAUAAUUUUCAUAUUAGAAGAGUGAAUUAAAUACAUGUAUUUAAUUAUAGCUGCGGCUAAAAACAAAAGAGUAAGAGAGCCUACUCGUAUGCCUAAAGUUUGGGGGCAACCGGUUGAAGAGCCUAUGGAUAUUUCAUUCAAUGACCUCGGGCAACCAAACGAUGAACAAAAGACAAGCACAUUAUCUCAUUUCUUAGGAACAAUUGCAAGAAACAGAAGAUAUUGCCCGUUACAGUACAAAGAUUGGAGGUUAAUGCCACAAACGUAUAAGGAUGAAAUGAUUAAUACAGUUAAGGUUAUUGACUCUAGUUACAUAUUUAUUUUUAAUAUUCAAAUGUGUGGAGUUAGUUGUUGAUAUUAUCUGGUUUGUAUAGACCAAAUUUGAGUUACCGCCAGGACAAGAGCCUUACAUAUGGAAAUCAAUUAACAAGAAAUGACAGAAAAGUAACGAAUUAGUACUCCGUCUACUAACAAUAAAAAAAAUUGUAUAUUUUAGUGUUCAGACUGUCUCGUUCUUAAAUAUUUAGACUUUAUUCUUCAAAAUACUCUACGACAUUGUAAUAUUGACAAGUUAUGAAAAAUUAUGGUUAUUAAUGUGUUUUUUUAUUUUCAUUAUUUUAGAAAACAAGUGAAAAGUAUCGGGACACUCGUGGUGAAUUGAAAUUGUUUCACCGUAUGGGGAAAAAUGUUUCGCUCGAGUCAAAGAAAAACUGGUAUCCUCUCUUUUGGAUUAAUUAUUAUUAACUGAUUUAUUCCGUUGGAACUUGUAAUAUGACCUCAUUUUUAUGCAGAAGAAGAUUCUUGAUAGAUAUCCUACAAGAGCCGAGUUAUUCAAAGAAUGCUAUUAUAAGGAAGAUGGUUCAUCUAGAAGUUCAAAGUUGCUAGAAACCAUUGUAAGUUUAAAUUUAUGUUAGAUCUCACUAUAAAUUUUAUGUCCUUGUUUAUUUUACAAUAUAAUCUCAAGCUUUAUUGUUGAUUAAAUAUUAUAUUAAAUUAUUACAGGAACAAUUGCAAGAAAUAGAAGAAGACGAAACUCAGAAUUCAGAUGAUGAUCCUACUCCUACUCCUGAUGAUGCAUUUGCAAAAGUAUUGGGUACGGAUAAGCAUGGAUAUGUGCGUAUGUAUGGUAUGGGAGUGAAACCAGCUGAUAUCUACGACACGAUUCCAAGUCGUGACGCAAGUUAUAGAUUGGCGAUGGAGUAUAAAGACAAGUAUUUGAAAACAAAAGGCCAAUAUGAUGCACUGAAUGAGAAGGUGGAUAACCUAGCAGCAGCAGUUCAUGGACGAGCACAACCUAGUGCACAAAAUGUUCCCGUUACUUCUCAAAGCAACCAACGCCCGUCUACAUCAAUUUCUCAACCAGACAGAUUCGGGUAAUUUACUUGGAGCUUGUUAACUCAUUUAAAUAAAAAUUGUUAUGAAUAUUUCAUUACAAAAACUAUAAGCACGCUUAAAAGUUUGGGAAAUAUCAAUGAGAUUGUUGCAAGUGGAUAUAUUUGUAAUAUUGGUUCUAUUAGAGUAAACGGUGAGGAAUUGGGACCUGAAUGGUGUGAAAUAACUAUUCAGUCUGAUAUUAAGAAAGAUGUGCGCUUGCUUAAACCUUAUGAUCACAUACAGACCAUCGGAGAUUCUAUUAGAGCACCUGUUGCUUGGCUGUUAUCCUUGGUAUGUAGUAAUAAAUUUGAUUAUGUGAAUAAUUGAAUUUAGUCAAAUAUCGUAUUGAAGGAUUGAAGUUUUCUUUAAUCAUUAUAGAAUUGUUGGUAACUUAGAAUUUACAUUUUUGAAUACUUUAUCGCUUUGAUUUACCUAAAAUGAAAUAUUAAUAUGUAUUUUCUGUUUUAUAGGUUGUUUUGGAUGAAAAUGAAUUUUAAUGCUUUAGCAUAACAGGUUUACUUUUUUACAACGUUACUCUAUCUUACUGUUGCAGAAUUUUGAAGUACAUUAUUCAUAUUCUAACAUUUCUAAUUCAAAAUUUACAGAUAUAUCAAGAGAGAUGCAUAGAGAAGACAUGGCAUGCUUAGAGAAAAUGCAGUUCUGAACCAUCAAUUAUGCAGUGUAUGAGUAAAAAACAAACAACUACUCUAUCAUCAAUCAUAGAACUUUAUUGUUUAUUAGUUUAUAGUGUAGCAUAAGAGACAUAGAUAAAUUUCCAUUGUGUUUGCUAGUUGCAGGAUAGCAGAUUAUUUAUUUCAUACUAUUUUUAAAUUCAUAAAUGAGAUUUGACUUUGUUG
rnacentral:lncRNA from 1 species